UACGGAGGGAGCUAGCGUUGUUCGGAAUUACUGGGCGUAAAGCGCACGUAGGCGGCUUUGUAAGUUAGAGGUGAAAGCCCGGGGCUCAACUCCGGAACUGCCUUUAAGACUGCAUCGCUUGAAUCCAGGAGAGGUGAGUGGAAUUCCGAGUGUAGAGGUGAAAUGCGUAGAUAUCGAGGAGGAACACCUGCGGUGUGAGACGGCUUACUGGGACGGUAACUGACGCUGAGGCACGAAAGCGUGGGUAGCAAACAGG
rnacentral:rRNA from 1 species